UUUUCUCUUCCACCACACUGGAGCUCCGUGAAUAGGGAAGGGGCUUCCAUUGUGUCCCUCUGAACUUCCAAGUCAAUGCAAUUUUUAACCACUGGCUUGUGGUACUUUGAAAAUCACCAGGGGCUGUCAGAGUUGGGUCCUCUGAAAAAUUUACAGUGCUAAAUCAGAGCAUAUGCUGGGAGGAAAAAAAAUUGCUUAAGAUUGGAGCAAGUACAGUAUCUGUCUGCCCCCUAGUGUAAGAGAUCUCGCUGCCUAAAAUCCAACUUUAAAAGAAAAGAAGCUCUUAAAGGGAAACGACUUUGGGCUCACGUAGGCAUAGGAGAAUGAAACUUCUGUACAUUUUAAUCUGAAUAAUUCUCCAGGAUUUAUAAUUAAUUGACUCUGGCUUGGUUGGACUGUUCUCGGAUCUCGCCGUCUCUACGUUUCCCGAGUGUCUGAUGAAGAGGCUCUAUAACAGAAUCAAAAAGGAUGCCUUCUAUGGAAGAAAGCUUGGGCACAUUGGGUCAACUUCUUGCUGAAGCCAGAGUUUUGCAAUUGGACAGGUGGUCAAGGAAAUGAAAACAGAGUGAUUUCUUGAGCUGCAAAUUCUAAACAGGUGAAGGUCUGGGUCAAGGCUACCUACAGAGAUGGAGAGGAAGGACUCACCUCCCACAACUGCCCUUCUUACAGAGUAGGUAUCCUGAAGCAUUCACCUGCCGCAGCAUGGGAGGAGCCAUUCUGUGGGAGCAGGGACCACAGGCUCUGAAGAAGACUCACCAAAGAGACAUCUAAGAAAGUCAAUGAUCUUGUAAGACUGGUCAGCCCUGUACAUGAAGCCAGAAGGUUCAGCUGUUCUACAACCUUUAGCUCCCAAAGCAGGUCCCAUUUCCCCUUGGGAUUGAUCAUGUGGGCGCCAUCAUUAUGUCGCCGGUAAACAGCGGAGCCACUAGCUUUCAUAGAGAGGACUGGACAUCUGACAGAAGACCAAGAAACCACGCUUCCCGUCUGACUUCAUGCAGCCAGGAAGUAAUAAGACAGUGGCCAGACAGUCAGAGGACAUCAGGCCCUGGUACACAGUGUCCAGCCAUCUCCACCAGGUACAGCUUUGACAUCUUCCUAUGGAGGAGGGCUCGCUCUAAUCCUAGGACUUCAGAUUUUAUAAAAUGUUCAGAGCAAUAUAGCCAUUUGGAAUAUGAACAUCUUUAUCUUGGUCCUGCCCGGAAUCACCAGCAGACCUGGCUUCACAGCUUGGAAGAAUAUUGAUAAGAAUUUAGUGAGCCACUGUGGGUUUUUGUUGUUCUUGCUUUGUUUUCAAGACAGGAUCUCACUGUGUUCUCUGACUGGUCUGGAACUCACUAUAUAGACUAAGCUGGCCUUGAAGUCAGGAAGAUGCACUUGCCUGGGUCUCCAGAGGCUGAGAUUAAAUGUGUGCACCACCAUGCCUGGCCUGGUGUUAUGCUUACCAGGGCUUCAGAGCAUCUAGCCUGGCACAGUUGGGACGGCCAUGGGACUGACUGCAGGAAUGCUGAGAGAGGCAGCUGUCACCACCAUGCAAGAGGGAGGACAUUCUCCCCCAAGGAAGCCUCAGUGCCUGAACACAGGAGUGGCUGGAGCUCAUGGAUGUCAUCCAGAGGAAGCACUGAGCUGAUGCCUUCUCCUAAUGAGUUUUGUCAGGGAGGAGAGAGGCUCUGUUCACCUGCACCUGGUUAUCACACUGCAUCCUUCAGAAUGUCUUCGGGACGAGCCGAUCUGAAGAAGGGAACAGACACAUUUACUACUGAUCUGAAUUAGGAGAAAAGACAAGAAGAAGAUCACGUCAUUCCAACUUUGCUAAUGGAAACUUCAUUUUGAGAACAUGGUGAAUCAGCCCUUGGCAGUGUGAACAGAGGGAGCCACAUCUCAGCCAGCAAGCCUGAAUAGGAUCUGCGGUAACUCUACACAGCCCAAAGCCUGACGUGCCCUGGGGCAUAAAAAAUUGAAACAAGAAAUAAAUUCAAGACCAAAGAAGAUGGUAGAAAAGAAGGAGGAAGCAGAAGAGGAAGAAGAAGAAGGAAAAGAAGAAAAAGGAAAGAAAAAGAACCAUUGUGGCUUACAGAUUUCCCUGCAAGAAAGAUUAAAGGGGAUCCUUCAUGUGGAGAUGAGAGGAUAGGAAGCAGAAACUCAGUAACUGGUAAAUGAAACCACACAGGUGGUUAGAAGACCUUGUAGCUGAAAUAUAUUUCCCAGCCACCCUUACAGGUUUGGAACAAAGUGAAAGCCAUUCCUUUUAAAACAUUAUGGGAGGAAAAACCAACAACCACCACUUUGCUGUUUUAGGAACAAGUGGAGACUCACUUCUCAAGGGCACAUGAGUUUAGGCCCUGUAGUUGGCUCCUCACUAGUACUUGAAACUGUUGCUGCACAGCCACUAAUGCCAGAUCUCUUAUGUAUUAUCUAGGAUGGACAUGUUGAUGGCAAGGUGAAGCCAAGAUUUCAAGACUUUGGUUAAAAUGCUGUGAGAACAGAGAAAGGAGGACCUCUUGGACCAUAGAGAUCCUCUUCUGCUCUCUUCCGGUUUCUUCCAGUUUCAAUCAGUGCCUGGGAGUAGGUGGGGCAUCAGCCAUGACAUUUUUUAGGAUUUUUAGAAAUUACUAUUUCCAACCUUGAAAUUCCAUGCUUGAGGAUAACUUAAAAUAUGCAAUCCUGGAAGAUUUAGCACCAAAUCCUUGCACUUUUCAUGGUACUCCUGUCUCCGAUUCCAAAUUUGUUGCUGCAAAUAGUCGUGAAGGUACUAGGAAUUCCUUCAUGUAACUCAGAAAACAGCCCAACAGCCUUCUCUUUUCAAUCACAGACUUAAGUCCAACAUUUUAGAAUUCAUGGGCACUUCCAGGUUGAACCUCAUGGAGAUUUUAUGCACACACGUACAAUGAAUGGACGGCAAAAGAAAACACUGGGUAAUAACCAGCCCAAGCAUGCCCAGUGUCUCUACAGGAGGUAAGUAGUUCUGAAUGAACCAACUGUUUGGCACUGGACAUUUCCCCCAUUCACCCUGUUUGACUGUAUUCUGUGCCAAAUCAAUUUGAGAAUAAUGAUAAGCAAAGACAAGGAUUAUUUUAAAUCUACCUAACACUGGCAGUGUCUUAUCAACCAGAAGAGAUGUAACUAUCUGUUAUCUAACUUUUGACAUCUACCUUAGCACUCAGGAAUGGUGAGGUCCCAGCUGCUGGCCUGAACUCCUCUUUGAACUGUGACUUUCUUCAUUAUUCAUGAUACCCUCAACUCCAGCUACAGAAUCUUACUCCAUAUCACUUUCUACUAGAUAUAUGCAUGAAGUUAGCAAUAAAAUACCUGGUAUCUGCAGUGUGAAA